GCAGAGGAGACCACCCCCCUCUCCGCCCCCUCCCCUUCCACAGCCUCGCGCUGUUUCCGAGAGAAACCCGUCCUUUCCCCCCCGAAAAGUCGCCCCUCGCUGUCAGGCCUGAUCCCGGGGCGCUCCCCCAGCUCCCCUCCAGCUGCAAACUUUGGUGGCCUCGGGGAGUCGGUCCUGGACCUCGUCCCAAGCUCCGGCCCGGGGCUGGGAGGGCGGGCGCCAGGGUCCCCCGGCCUGGGGCGCCCCUCCGGCCGGGAGGGAGGGAGGUCAAGGGGGGCUGCUCGGACUCUUCCCCCCUUCUCCUUCGCCGACGGAUCCAGCCGCGCAGGGAUGAGCAGCCGGGAAGGCCGGGAAAGGGGCAGCCGGACAGACCGGGAAAACCGGAGAGGACCCGAGCGCUACCCUGUGGCCACGCUUGGAGAGGAGCCCGGCGCUCACGGGGGCGGCACAGGGGAGAGGGGAGAAGUUCUCCAUCGUGGAGCAUUUUUCUCAGCAGUUCCCACUCCCGCUGAAGGGCCAGAACCGAUACUCUAAAAGCAUCUGAACAUCUCUGCUCUGGGACCUCCAAGGGAAGGAAACCAGACAGAGAAACAAAGCCCUCCCAUCCUCCUCCGACCUCAAGGACAGGUCACUGGUCUGCUGGGCCAGGUGGGCUCAAGAAGCGGGUGAUAACAGGUAAACAGUGACCUUGGAUUUGCCUUCCUCCAGAUUCGCUGCCUGUCUCAAUGAAUCUUGAUAUUGACCUCGGGAGCCUUCGAUAUCUAUUUAUUGUUCAGAUAUUUCAGCGUCAAUAAACAGAAG